UACGUAGGGUGCAAGCGUUGUCCGGAAUUAUUGGGCGUAAAGAGCUCGUAGGCGGUUUGUCGCGUCUGCUGUGAAAACCCGAGGCUCAACCUCGGGCCUGCAGUGGGUACGGGCAGACUAGAGUGCGGUAGGGGAGAUUGGAAUUCCUGGUGUAGCGGUGGAAUGCGCAGAUAUCAGGAGGAACACCGGUGGCGAAGGCGGGUCUCUGGGCCGAUACUGACGUGAGGAGCGAAAGCGUGGGGGAGCGAACAGG
rnacentral:rRNA from 1 species